rnacentral:rRNA from 1 species
AACGUAGGUCACAAGCGUUGUCCGGAAUUACUGGGUGUAAAGGGAGCGCAGGCGGGAGAACAAGUUGGAAGUGAAAUCCAUGGGCUCAACCCAUGAACUGCUUUCAAAACUGUUUUUCUUGAGUAGUGCAGAGGUAGGCGGAAUUCCCGGUGUAGCGGUGGAAUGCGUAGAUAUCGGGAGGAACACCAGUGGCGAAGGCGGCCUACUGGGCACCAACUGACGCUGAGGCUCGAAAGUGUGGGUAGCAAACAGGAUUAGAUACCCUGGUAGGCUGACUGACU